AUUGACGAUGGAUCACCAGUGAGUGGCGGACGGGUGAGUAACACGUAGGUAACCUGCCCCGGAGCGGGGGAUAACAUUUGGAAACAGAUGCUAAUACCGCAUAACAACAAAAGCCACAUGGCUUUUGUUUGAAAGAUGGCUUUGGCUAUCACUCUGGGAUGGACCUGCGGUGCAUUAGCUAGUUGGUAAGGUAACGGCUUACCAAGGCGAUGAUGCAUAGCCGAGUUGAGAGACUGAUCGGCCACAAUGGAACUGAGACACGGUCCAUACUCCUACGGGAGGCAGCAGUAGGGAAUCUUCCACAAUGGGCGCAAGCCUGAUGGAGCAACACCGCGUGAGUGAAGAAGGGUUUCGGCUCGUAAGGCUCUGUUGUUGGAGAAGAACGUGCGUGAGAGUAACUGUUCACGCAGUGACGGUAUCCAACCAGAAAGUCACGGCUAACUACGUGCCAGCAGCCGCGGUAAUACGUAGGUGGCAAGCGUUAUCCGGAUUUAUUGGGCGUAAAGCGAGCGCAGGCGGUUGCUUAGGUCUGAUGUGAAAGCCUUCGGCUUAACCGAAGAAGUGCAUCGGAAACCGGGCGACUUGAGUGCAGAAGAGGACAGUGGAACUCCAUGUGUAGCGGUGGAAUGCCUAGAUAUAUGGAAGAACACCAGUGGCGAAGGCGGCUGUCUGGUCUGCAACUGACGCUGAGGCUCGAAAGCAUG
rnacentral:rRNA from 1 species